rnacentral:tRNA from 2 species
GACCCCUUCAUCUAGUGGCCAAGGAUCCUACCCUUUCUCGGUAGUCACGGAAGUUCAAAUCUUUCAGGGGUCGCCA